rnacentral:tRNA from 1 species
UCGGUGCGAGUGUCGGGUGACGCCACGGGCCUCAUAAGCCCGUCGGCCCCCGUUCGAUUCGGGGCCUCGCA